rnacentral:miRNA from 1 species
UAGAGGUCACCCAGGAAGGAGA